rnacentral:tRNA from 1 species
GGAUUGUGGCUCAGCGGUAGAGCACUCCCCUAGCUCGGGCGGGACCCAGGUUCGAUCCUUAGCACCA